GGGGCGUGAAGCUCAAAUGGUAGAUUGCUCGCUUAGCAUGCGAGAGGUACGGGGAUCGAUACCCUGCACCUCCA
rnacentral:tRNA from 1 species